CCUACUGCCGUGGCCACAGUCAGUGGAACCAAAGCUGCCAUUCACAAUCAAGGGGCGGAAAUCCUAGCUUCCUUGGAAGAACAAGCAGAAAAUAGUGACAACGAGCUCUCACUUGUACGUCAAGAAUUGCUUGAAAUAAAAAAAUUCAUCUUCACAGAGAUACCUCAGAUAAAAGAAAUGCUCAAUAGCUCCAUGCACCUCGGCAGUCCAGGGUCUCUCCCCAGCCCUUCAAACCCUGUUCAAAUAGAAGAAAUUGUCCCGG